rnacentral:rRNA from 1 species
GGGUGCGUAACACGUGGGCAACCUGCCCUGGAGUUUGGGGUAGCCCGCCGAAAGGCGGAUUAAUACCGGAUAUGGCUAGUGACCGAUUGGUCGCGACGCUAAAGGUGGCGCAAGCUGCCGCUCUUGGAUGGGCCCGCGGCCUAUCAGCUAGUUGGUGAGGUAACGGCUCACCAAGGCGAUGACGGGUAGCUGGUCUGAGAGGACGACCAGCCACACUGGAACUGAGACACGGUCCAGACACCUACGGGUGGCAGCAGUCGAGAAUUUUUCGCAAUGGGGGAAACCCUGACGGAGCGACGCCGCGUGGAGGAUGAAGGUCUUCGGAUUGUAAACUCCUGUCAUUGGUGAACAAGGUGCUUCCAUUAACUGUGGAGGUAAUUGCUAGUAGCCGAAGAGGAAGGGACGGCUAACUCUGUGCCAGCAGCCGCGGUAAUACAGAGGUCCCGAGCGUUGUUCGGAUUCAUUGGGCGUAAAGGGUGCGUAGGCGGCUGGGUAAGUUUGAUGUGAAAUCCUGGGGCUCAACCCUGGAACUGCAUUGAAUACUGCUCGGCUAGAGUACUGG